ACACGUAGGGGGCGAGCGCUGUUCGGAAUCAUUGGGCGUAAAGGGCGCGCAGGCGGCGAGGCAAGUCCGGUGUGAAAGUGCUCGGCUCAACCGAGUGAUGCGCUGGAAACUGCCCUGCUUGAGUACAGGAGGGGACGUCGGAAUUCCAGGUGUAGGGGUGAAAUCUGUAGAUAUGUGGAAGAACACCGGUGGCGAAGGCGGACGUCUGGCCAUGUACUGACGCUGAGGCGCGAAGGUGCGGGGAGCGAACAGGUUUAGAUACCCUGGUAGUCCGCACAGUAAACGAUGUGCACCAGGUGGCGGGGGGUAGCCCUCGGUACCGAAGCCAACGCAUUAAGUGCACCGCCUGGGGAGUAUGCUCGCAAGAUUGAAACUCAAAGGAAUUGACGGGG
rnacentral:rRNA from 1 species